rnacentral:rRNA from 1 species
GAUGAACGCUGGCGGCGUGCCUAAUACAUGCAAGUCGAGCGAACGGACGAGAAGCUUGCUUUUCUGAUGUUAGCGGCGGACGGGUGAGUAACGCGUGGAUAACCUACCUAUAAGACUGGGAUAACUUCGGGAAACCGGAGCUAAUACCGGAUAAUAUUUUGAACCGCAUGGUUCAAAAGUGAAAGACGGUCUUGCUGUCACUUAUAGAUGGAUCCGCGCUGCAUUAGCUAGUUGGUAAGGUAACGGCUUACCAAGGCAACGAUGCAUAGCCGACCUCAGAGGGUGAUCGGCCACAUUGGAACUGGAACACGGUCCAGACGCCUACGGGAGGCAGCAGUAGGGAACGUGACGCAGUGGGCGAAAGCCUGACGGAACAACGCCGCGUGAGUGAUGAAGGUCUUCGGAUCGUAAAACUCUGUUAUUAGGGAAGAACAUAUGUGUAAGUAACUGUGCACAUCUUGACGGUACCUAAUCAGAAAGCCACGGCUAACUACGUG